UAACUACUCCAUCCGUUCCGAAUUACUCGUCGCAGAAAUGGAUGUAUCUAGAUGUAUUUUAGUUCUAGAUACAUCUAUUUCUACGACGAGUAAUUUGGAACGGAGUACUUU
rnacentral:pre_miRNA from 1 species